rnacentral:rRNA from 1 species
UAAUUUGAGAGUUUGAUCCUGGCUCAGGACGAACGCUGGCGGCGUGCCUAAUACAUGCAAGUCGAACGAACUCUGGUAUUGAUUGGUGCUUGCAUCAUGAUUUACAUUUGAGUGAGUGGCGAACUGGUGAGUAACACGUGGGAAACCUGCCCAGAAGCGGGGGAUAACACCUGGAAACAGAUGCUAAUACCGCAUAACAACUUGGACCGCAUGGUCCGAGCUUGAAAGAUGGCUUCGGCUAUCACUUUUGGAUGGUCCCGCGGCGUAUUAGCUAGAUGGUGGGGUAACGGCUCACCAUGGCAAUGAUACGUAGCCGACCUGAGAGGGUAAUCGGCCACAUUGGGACUGAGACACGGCCCAACUCCUACGGGAGGCAGCAGUAGGGAAUCUUCCACAAUGGACGAAAGUCUGAUGGAGCAACGCCGCGUGAGUGAAGAAGGGUUUCGGCUCGUAAAACUCUGUUGUUAAAGAAGAACAUAUCUGAGAGUAACUGUUCAGGUAUUGACGGUAUUUAACCAGAAAGCCACGGCUAACUACGUGCCAGCAGCCGCGGUAAUACGUAGGUGGCAAGCGUUGUCCGGAUUUAUUGGGCGUAAAGCGAGCGCAGGCGGUUUUUUAAGUCUGAUGUGAAAGCCUUCGGCUCAACCGAAGAAGUGCAUCGGAAACUGGGAAACUUGAGUGCAGAAGAGGACAGUGGAACUCCAUGUGUAGCGGUGAAAUGCGUAGAUAUAUGGAAGAACACCAGUGGCGAAGGCGGCUGUCUGGUCUGUAACUGACGCUGAGGCUCGAAAGUAUGGGUAGCAAACAGGAUUAGAUACCCUGGUAGUCCAUACCGUAAACGAUGAAUGCUAAGUGUUGGAGGGUUUCCGCCCUUCAGUGCUGCAGCUAACGCAUUAAGCAUUCCGCCUGGGGAGUACGGCCGCAAGGCUGAAACUCAAAGGAAUUGACGGGGGCCCGCACAAGCGGUGGAGCAUGUGGUUUAAUUCGAAGCUACGCGAAGAACCUUACCAGGUCUUGACAUACUAUGCAAAUCUAAGAGAUUAGACGUUCCCUUCGGGGACAUGGAUACAGGUGGUGCAUGGUUGUCGUCAGCUCGUGUCGUGAGAUGUUGGGUUAAGUCCCGCAACGAGCGCAACCCUUAUUAUCAGUUGCCAGCAUUAAGUUGGGCACUCUGGUGAGACUGCCGGUGACAAACCGGAGGAAGGUGGGGAUGACGUCAAAUCAUCAUGCCCCUUAUGACCUGGGCUACACACGUGCUACAAUGGAUGGUACAACGAGUUGCGAACUCGCGAGAGUAAGCUAAUCUCUUAAAGCCAUUCUCAGUUCGGAUUGUAGGCUGCAACUCGCCUACAUGAAGUCGGAAUCGCUAGUAAUCGCGGAUCAGCAUGCCGCGGUGAAUACGUUCCCGGGCCUUGUACACACCGCCCGUCACACCAUGAGAGUUUGUAACACCCAAAGUCGGUGGGGUAACCUUUUAGGAACCAGCCGCCUAAGGUGGGACAGAUGAUUAGGGUGAAGUCGUAACAAGGUAGCCGUAGGAGAACCUGCGGCUGGAUCACCUCCUUU